rnacentral:misc_RNA from 1 species
GAUCGCCGUGUGCGUUGAAAGACGCCUGCACGGUGAAGGCUCGUUAUAAACCGAAAUAGAUAGAAGGAUAAGACGAGAAU